rnacentral:rRNA from 1 species
GUGAGGAAUUUUGCGCAAUGGCCACAAGGCUGACGCAGCAACGCCGCGUGGGUGAAGAAGGCCUUCGGGUCGUAAAGCCCUGUCAGGUGGGAAGAAGGACCAUGGGUCGAAUAGACUGUGGGAUUGACGGUACCACCAGAGGAAGCACCGGCUAACUCCGUGCCAGCAGCCGCGGUAAUACGGAGGGUGCGAGCGUUAUUCGGAAUUACUGGGCGUAAAGCGCGUGCAGGCGGUUUGACAAGUCUGAUGUGAAAGCCCCGGGCUUAACCUGGGAAGAGCAUUGGAAACUGUUGGACUUGAGUACAGGAGAGGAAGGGGGAAUUCCCGGUGUAGAGGUGAAAUUCGUAGAGAUCGGGAGGAAUACCAGUGGCGAAGGCGCCCUUCUGGACGGCUACUGACGCUGAGACGCGAAAGCGUGGGGAGCAAACAGGAUUAGAAACCCCAGUAGUCC